rnacentral:rRNA from 1 species
UACAGAGGGUGCAAGCGUUAAUCGGAAUUACUGGGCGUAAAGCGUGCGUAGUCGGUUGUUUAAGUCGGAUGUGAAAUCCCCGGGCUCAACCUGGGAAUUGCAUUCGAUACUGGACAGCUAGAGUUCGGCAGAGGGAAGUGGAAUUUCCGGUGUAGCGGUGAAAUGCGUAGAUAUCGGAAGGGACAUCAGUGGCGAAAGCGACUUCCUGGACCAGAACUGACGAUCAGGCACGAAAGCGUGGGGAGCAAACAGG